rnacentral:lncRNA from 1 species
GGACAAUGACAGCCAAACUUACUUAUAUACACUCUUUUCUAAAGUCGAAUUGAGUUUGAGAAUUUACUUUUCCCCACUGAAGGUUAUGCAUUUUGCUUAAACUUGUCGAUCUUCGUUUCUGUUACAGACAGCAUGUAUCGCUAUCCGCCAUUACUUCAGAUGAAGGCUAGCGAUUUCAUUGGUUGAUUAAAAGAAUAAAGUAUUUUACCUUAAUUUUUGUAGAAAUUGUUAUAGAAAUGUUUUAUUUUACGAUUAAUGUUAGAAAAUGUAAAAGUUUAUAUUUUAAUAACUUUGUAUUCUUUGUCGAUUCAACUUGUUAAAGAAUGGAGCUUUUUGAUUGGCUAUUGGUUACUGUGCACCGUGCAAGAUGGGGCACUUAAGGGUAUCGUGCAUGCCCCUGUGCGGUACAUUUGCACUGUCGUGCAGUGGCGGGUAUUAUAUAACCUUUCGAAAACGCUGCACUGACGUCACUUUCACGCCAUUUUAUUAGGGAUUGAACCGCUGCCAAAAUUUUAAUAGAAAGUAAGGCCAA